GGCUAAUACCGCAUAGGAAGUUUGUUCGCAUGAACAAACUUAGAAAGAUGGCUCUGCUAUCACUUAUCGAUGGCCUUGCGGUGCAUUAACUAGUUGGCGAGGUAACGGCUCACCAAGGUGAUGAUGCAUAGCCGACCUGAGAGGGUAAUCGGCCACAUUGGGACUGAGACACGGCCCAAACUCCUACGGGAGGCAGCAGGA
rnacentral:rRNA from 1 species